rnacentral:rRNA from 1 species
GAUGAACGCUGGCGGCGUGCCUAAUACAUGCAAGUCGAGCGAACAGACGAGGUGCUUGCUCCUCUGACGUUAGCGGCGGACGGGUGAGUAACACGUGGAUAACCUACCUAUAAGACUGGGAUAACUUCUGGAAACGGGAGCUAAUACCGGAUAAUAUAUUGAACCACAUGGUUCAAUAGUGAAAGACGCUUUUGCUGUCACUUAUAGUUAUCUCCGCGCCUAAUUAGUUAGUUGGUAAGGUAACGGCUUACCAAGGCAACGAUGCGUAGCCGACCUGAGAGGGUGAUCGGCCACACGGGAACUGGAACACGGUCCAGACUCCUACGGGAGGCAGCAGUAGGGAAUCUUCGGCAAUGGGCGAAAGCUUGACGGAGCAACGCCGGGUGAGUGAUGAAGGUCUUCGGAUCGUAAAACUCUGUUAUAAGGGAAGAACAAAUGUGUAAGUAACUAUGCACGUCUUGACGGUACCUAAUCAGAAAGCCACGGCUAACUACGUG